AAAAUAACUUCACGAAUCGCAUGGCCUUGCGCCGGCGAUGGUUCAUUCAAAUUUCUGCCCUAUCAACUUUCGAUGGUAGGAUAGUGGCCUACCAUGGUGGCAACGGGUAACGGGGAAUUAGGGUUCGAUUCCGGAGAGGGAGCCUGAGAAACGGCUACCACAUCCAAGGAAGGCAGCAGGCGCGCAAAUUACCCAAUCCCGAUACGGGGAGGUAGUGACAAUAAAUACUGAUACAGGGGCUCUUUUGGGUCUUGUAAUUGGAAUGAGAACAAUCUAAAUCCCUUAACGAGGAACAAUUGGAGGGCAAGUCUGGUGCCAGCAGCCGCGGUAAUUCCAGCUCCAAUAGCGUAUAUUAAAGUUGUUGCAGUUAAAAAGCUCGUAGUUGAACCUUGGGCCCGUCCUGCCGGUCCGCCUCACCGCGAGUACUGGUCCGGAUGGGCCUUUCUUUCUGGGGAAUCCCAUGGCCUUCACUGGGCUGUGGCGGGGAACCAGA
rnacentral:rRNA from 2 species